GUACAGAGGGGGCAAGCGUUUGUUCGGAAUUACUGGGCGUAAAGGGCGCGUAGGCGGUGUGUCAAGUCAGGCGUGAAAGCCCCGGGCUCAACCUGGGAACAGCGCUUGAGACUGGCACGCUCGAGUUCGGGAGAGGAUGGUGGAAUUCCCAGUGUAGAGGUGAAAUUCGUAGAUAUUGGGAAGAACACCGGUGGCGAAGGCGGCCACCUGGACCGGUUCUGACGCUGAUGCGCGAAAGCGUGGGAUGAGCAAACAGG
rnacentral:rRNA from 1 species